rnacentral:rRNA from 1 species
GCCUAAAUCUUAGCCCUACUCACUACCCACCUUACUUCAACAAAAUAAAACAUUUUCUCCAUUAAGUAACGGCGAUUAAAAAAUGAUUAAGAGCAACAGAGACAGUACCGCAAGGGAAACAUGAAAUAACAUGAAAAACCUAAAGCAUGCUACAGCAAAGUCUAAGCCUUGUACCUUUUGCAUCAUGGUCUAGCAAGUUUAACCAAGCAAGACGCACUUAAAGUUUGACCCCCCGAAACUAAGCGAGCUACUCUAAAACAGCCUCACAGGGCCAACCCUUCUCUGUCGCAAAAGAGUGGGAAGAUUUUAAAGUAGAGGUGAUAUACCUACCGAGCCUAGAGAUAGCUGGUUAUUCAAGAAAAGGAUCUUAGUCCGCCUUUAAGUUUUAAUAACACAAGUAAAUACUUCACCUAAAUAUUUAAUAAACUUUAAAGUCACUCAAAUAAGGUACAGCCUAUUUGAUUCAGGAAACAGCCUCCAAUACUGGGUAAUGAAGCCCCCCCCAUGACCAAGUAGGCCUAAAAGCAGCCACCUUCUAAAAAGCGUUCAAGCUUUAUCAUAAUCUGUUUCUAAUCCCUCAACCAACUCAUAACCCCCAACUACUACUGAAUAAUCUCAUAAAUGUAUGAGAGCCAUCAUGCUAGAACUAGUAACAAGAAAAGAACCUCUCCAAAAUGUAAACGCAAGCCAUAAUGAACCCUCGCCGGCACCUACCGCAUAAACUCUUAGUACCAACAACCCAAGAAAACCGUACUUUAAACAGCGUUAACCUUACACUAGAACAUUUCUGAGAAAGAUUAAAAGAGAUGGAAGGAAUUCGGCAAACAUUAGCCCCGCCUGUUUACCAAAAACACCGCCUCUUGACAAACAUAAGAGGUCCAGCCUGCCCAGUGACACCCCAGUUAAACGGCCGCGGUAAUUUGACCGUGCAAAGGUAGCACAAUCACUUGUUCUUUAAAUAAGGACUAGAAUGAACGGCUUCACGAGGGCUAUACUGUCUCCCCUCUCUAAUCAGUGAAACUGAUCUCCUCGUGAAGAAGCGAGGAUACCCCGAUAAGACGAGAAGACCCCAUGAAGCUUUAAACUUGUAACAACCCCCCCAUCUAAGUACACCAGUAAUAGAAAGAAAUGUCUACAAGUCUUUCGGCUGGGGCGACCCUGGAGGAAAACUCAACCUUCGCGAUGAACGGACCCACUCCUAAUCAAAGAGCUACAACUCAAAGAAUCAAUAAACUGACACAUUGACCCAAAUAUUUGAUCAACGAACCAAGUUACACUGGGGAUAACAGCGCAAUCCAUUUCUAGAGCCCCCAUCGACAAAUGGGCUUACGACCUCGAUGUUGGAUCAGGGUAUCCCAGUGGUGCAGCCGCUACUAAAGGUUCGUUUGUUCAACGAUUAAAACCCU